CUGAAGAGGCGUAUAUUACAAACGCCCCCUUUGAAAUCUUAAAAUCUCUCAGAGAGCACACACUUGCCGGAGUUGGAACUAAGGUGAAGCUUAAAGUGCAAUUCGUCUUCCUCAUUCUUCCACUAAGCAGAUGGAGAAACCCGAGAGGCUGUAGAUUUGCUUACCAGCUCAGGACAUUAAGAGCAGUUCAUCCCAGUUAUAUUGUUUUUCUGGAUUUAUGGUAUUGCUUGGGUGAGCAUUUCCUGGUGGUUGAAUCGGAUCUGAAAUGUUUACUUGCUGACACGGUUAUCUUCGAGGCAUAUCUGAAAGUGUCACCAUGCCUCGUAAGGUAAAUUAUGGAGUUGAUUAUGAAGAAGACUUUUAUGACUAUGAAGAUUACAAUAAUGACUAUGACGAUGGAUAUGAAUAUGCAGAGAAAAAUGGAAGGGCACCAGAAACAAAUACAAAGCAGGAAUUGGUCAAGGUUGGCAUCUGGCGUUGUUCCAUUUGCACAUUUGAUAACAGAGCUAGUAUGAACGUGUGUGAUGUAUGUGGAAAUCCCAAACAAGAACCAGUUAAGGCUGGGGUGUGGUGUUGUCCCAUUUGCACAUUUGAUAAUGAAGAUACCACAAAUUUAUGUGAUAUGUGUGGGGUCCUGCGUAACCCAUUGAUCAAAGGUUGUGGUGGUGGUGGUGGCAAAGCUAGCGCAGCUACUAGCAACAAAGUCGUACAGUCAAAUGUCCUAUCAAGUAAAAAGGAAAUAGCUGGUGAAGUUAAAAAAAAAUUGGUUUCUGAAGAGCCUACUAGUUCUUCCACAUCAACGGCGAAGGUUAGACGUGAUGACAUGAAGGAUAGAGGUUCUUCUAUAGAAACUAGAGGAAAUCAUGACGGCAUGAGCAAUGUGAGCAAUAUGUCUGUAUCAUCAAAUCCUCACAAUGUGGAGAGUAGAAUUGCAACUUCAAGAUCACAGAGUAAACCUCAGAAAAUUGUAUGCACUGGUCAAUUAGAAGACAAAUUGAACCAGCUAAAUCUUGCAAUUGUUGGCCAUGUUGAUUCUGGGAAGUCAACACUAUCAGGAAGACUACUACACCUUUUGGGGCAGAUAUCUCAGAAGGAAAUGCACAAAUAUGAAAAAGAGGCCAAGCAGCAAGGAAAAGGGUCCUUUGCUUAUGCCUGGGCAUUGGAUGAGAGUGCUGAGGAAAGAGAGAGGGGAAUAACUAUGACAGUGGCUGUUGCCUACUUUAACACAAAAAGUUACCGUGUUGUACUGCUUGAUUCCCCAGGCCAUAGAGACUUUGUCCCAAAUAUGAUAUCAGGUGCAACACAAGCAGAUGCUGCAAUUCUCGUAGUUGAUGCUUCAAUAGGUGCAUUUGAAGCUGGCAUUGAUGUUAGUGGAGGUCAGACAAGGGAGCAUGCACAACUUAUCAAAAGCUUUGGGGUGGACCAGAUAAUAAUUGCUAUUAACAAAAUGGAUGCUGUGGGAUACUCCAAAGAACGGUUUGAUACAAUUAAGAAUCAACUAGGAACAUUUCUUCGUGCUUGUAAGUUUAAAGAUUCAUCAGUAUUGUGGAUUCCCCUGAGUGCCAUGCAAAACCAAAAUUUGGUGACAAGUCCUUCUGAUGCAAGAUUGUUGUCCUGGUUUCAAGGUCCAUGCCUUUUAGACGCCAUAGACUCUCUCCAACCUCCCCAAAGAGAUUACUCAAAGCCUAUAUUAAUGCCGAUAUGUGAUCUCGUUAAAUUACCCUCACAAGGACAGGUGUCAGUAUGUGGAAAGUUGGAGACAGGAGCUCUUCAAACUGGAGAUAAGGUUCUAGUUAUGCCAUCAAGAGAAAUGGCAACAGUGCGUUCUUUGGAACAUAAUUCUCAGGUCUGUAACAGUGCAAAAGCCGGAGACAAUGUCACUGUUAAUCUACAAGGUAUAGAUGUGAAUCGUGUAAAGGCAGGGGAUGUGCUGUGCCACCCUGAAUAUCCUAUUGCUGUUACAAAUCAUUUGGAACUGAAGAUUCUUCUCCUGGAUAUUGCUGUUCCAAUUUUAAUUGGCUCUCAGUUGGAAUUUCAUGUACACCAUGUUAAGGAGGCUGCAAGAGUAGUGAGGAUUUUGUCCUUGCUUGAUCCAAAGACUGGAAAGGAGACCAAGAAAUCACCUAGAUGUCUUCUAGCAAAGCAGAAUGCUAUAAUUGAGGUAGUUUUGCAAGGGAUGAUUUGCGUUGAAGAGCAUUCUAAAUGUAAGGGUCUUGGAAGGGUGUCCCUCAGAGCAUCAGGAAGAACCAUCGCUCUUGGUCUUGUGACUCGAGUUCUAGAGAAGAAGGAAUAGAGAAAUUGCCACUGCUGGAAUGAGAUUUGACAUGCCCAGAAUCAGCUGGUAGAGGUGCUUUGAUGUUUUUUUUUUGGAGUAUUUUCUGCUAGUUUUGGUGCUGUUUUUCUGCUGAUUUACCAGCAUUUUUGCUGGCUUAUUAUCAGUUUGAAGUGUUAAUAUGCUCAAGGUGGAAAAAUGAAGAAAAAAUAAGCCAAAAAAUAAAUACUCGGGGGCAACUCAUAGUACUUUUUUAUUGCACUUAACAAACUUAGAUACGUUUAAUACAAGAAAUUCAAAGCGAGAUUAAUACAACAUAAACGACUACUUCACUAUGACUUCACUUUCUCAUCUUCUCUCUUUCCAAUUGCAAGAAUUCUUGUUGCUCUUGUGUAACCAU